CUCAGAGUGAUCAAGGACCAUCAGGAGCGAGGGAGCCACGUGAACCCUGCUUCUAAUCACAGACUCAGAGAGAGGCCAUGCUGUUUAUGCUGAUUUGACACCAAAGCAAACGAGGAUUAUC
rnacentral:lncRNA from 1 species